UCAAGCUAAUAUUGGUCUACAUAUCAGAUCUCUCUGUUGCACCACUUUUUUUUUUGACAUUUUUUUCCGUAGACAUACAAUACCUUCACAUAGCCUGAUACUCAUUGUUUUUACUCACUGAUGGCCGCCAAAACGCGUCGCCGCUUCCUGCUUCUGUACCUUGAAGGAGAAUUUCUGCCCGCUGAUCAAUUCCUGAAAGAUAUGAGGACAGUGUUUUAUUCUCCAUUGAUUUUCCUGGACUUCCUCUGGCUAUUAAUCCUCACAGAAAUCAACUGAAGUCGUCACCUGUACACGUCUUUUGUUAUUUUAUUUAUAUUUUUCAUAUGUAAUCAGGACCGCAGCACCACGCUCCACCAGAACCGUCCGCGUCCUCAUGUGACUUCAGCGCUUACAAGACGCUACGGCCUAAAAAAGCCGCGGCACUCAUCUAAUUACACGUCUGUUGGCUUCGCGUUUUAUCCUCCUCACAUCCUUAAUUUCCAUUUCUGCCAUGUCAAAUAUUCACUCGGGUCGGCCGUAAUCACAGUCCUGCCGGCGCGGACGCUGACCCGCACAAAUCCCACCAUGUUUAAAAGAUUUACUCUGAGGCAUUUACCUCCGCGAGGGGAGGGGGGAACAGGGAUGCACUCGGAUAUCGUCGUCGGCUCCAUGUUGUUAAUGUUUGGGUUGGCCAAGCAGAAAUAUUUUCAGCAUUUUAUUAUAGCGGGACGUUUCGGUCUCAUCACACCGCCCUAUCAUUUAACCCUAAUUCCGUGACCUUCCUUCAGGAAUACAUCACAUAAAACAUACCUGCCUCUUUUAAUGAACUAUAUGAAACGACUAUGUGCUCCUUCCUCUGUAUAUGUGCUUGUGACAUGAAGCAUUCAGGACCAACAAGUGCAAACACCCUGUUUUCCGUGUAAUAGCCCCUGCCUAUACUGACCGGAACGCUGCCUACCGUGGCUUUUCCCACACCCAGACUUCAAAGUGGACCUCAAACUACGCAGCCCUCUGAACAACAUCCAGGAUACUGACGGCAGCCCAUCUCAAAGCUGCAACCAAACCACAAGAGCAUUACCACCCAGGAUGUGCCUUUUUUCCCUUCAGGUCUAAUCCACAGUGGCAGCUGCACUUUAGCUUCGUCUGUGACUGAAGCCUCAGGAUUUGACCAUGCACCGCCGGGUUCCCAUGUGAGGAAGAAAACAUACAACCCCAUGCUGAUGUAGCCCCUAAUUACAACUGAUGGGGUUUUUUUCUCUCUCUUUCUCUCUCUCUUUCUUUUCUUUCCAUGGAUUCUGACCAAAACUGUUGCUCUGCUGACUUUGCUGAUGGAUAGCGAGCGCGGGGUAACGAUCAUUUUCAUCGCCGCAAGCGAAUUCCGAUUCGCUGAUGGGAUCGGCACGACAAGAGGAACUUUGAUGAACCAGGAGCCACAAAACUCCAGGAGCAUCGUGAAUAAUUCGACCGAAACCAGAAUGCGGACGGUACUCACUGAUUCUUCCCUGCUGACCUCUGACACCCAGAGUGACGUGCGACGUUUCUGACGGCACUCAGAUCCUGAUUGAUGUCAUCAGUGAGUCAAAGGUUCCUGUAACAUGCAGAAAGAAGGAAGCUGGACUUCAGAGAUAGCCUGAUGAACCCUUGUUGUUGGAAAAAGGUUUUAGCAGCCACUUUCCUAGCAGUAGCUGAAUAAUAAUUUUAUGUGGAAAUUUGGGAAAUCUCACCUGUUAGCUUUCGUCAAUUGAUUCUGAAGAGAAAACUUAGCAUUUUUCUUUCCUUUAUCCUUGUAAGAUUGUGUGAGGAUACCCCAAACCGUUUGAAUUCAAGUCAGUGAUAGCAAACAUUGAGAAAAUGCAUGUAGACGUCUGACUUUGAAGACACUAAAAAAUAAAUCUCUCACAUAUUC